UUCAGCAGGGACAGUGAGGGACCCUCAGCCUACUCCUCCCCACGGAGCAGCACCCGCAUGUCCCCCACCCACACCCUGCCUGGUCUGCCACCCUCAGGUGGCUCUGGGAGGCUGGCACCAAUUUUGGGUGGUUGUUCCUGUAUCAUCGAGUACCCCUCAGGGUGGGCAGGGGUAGCUCGGUCUGUAACUCAGGAUGCAAGGGGAGGACCAGAAGCAUGAUCCAGGAGUGUCUGAACUGGCAACAGCUAUCAGCCUGGGGAGGAGAUGGCUGAGGUGAUGGGGUGAUGACAAGAUUCUGCACAGUUCAGUGAUGGUACCCAGAGAUGGCCACUGCCAGGGACCAGACAGUGGGCUAGAUGGAUCUCUGAUGUGCCCUGGCACAACUGAUAUUUUCUCCUCCUGUGAUGACCUUGUCCAUCUGCUAUAUCUGUGGUCUGUAACCUGCCCAUAGAAAUGAAGUUAGAAGGACAGAAAGUCUUGCUGUCCUAUAUUUAUAACAUAAAGGAGAUUGGGGUAAAAUUUUGGGGUUCCUCGGUAUGAGAAAAUACAAAUAUCAAUGUUGAGAGAAAUUAUAAGUAGCUAAGUGUUGCAAUGCAUAUGUUCUUCUGUAGUUGGUACUCAUGCAAAGAUGCCAACUCCAUUUCUGUCC